rnacentral:tRNA from 1 species
GCCCCCGUAGCUCAAUUGGUCCAGAGCGUUCGCCUUUUAAGCGGAAAGAUGAGAGUUCGAGUCUCUCCGGGGGUA